rnacentral:rRNA from 1 species
UACGGGGGGGGCAAGCGUUGUUCGGAUUUACUGGGCGUAAAGGGCGCGUAGGCGGCAAUUCAAGUCAGCUGUGAAAUCUCCGAGCUUAACUCGGAACGGUCAGCUGAUACUGUUUUGCUAGAGUGCAGAAAGGGCAACCGGAAUUCUUGGUGUAGCGGUGAAAUGCGUAGAUAUCAAGAGGAACACCUGCGGCGAAGGCGGGUUGCUGGGCUGACACUGACGCUGAUGCGCGAAAGCCAGGGGAGCGAACGGG